GGCAGACCCUAGGGCUGACUUCCUCCCAGAGCAAGCCCAGCCCCUGGAUCCAGACCUUUGCUCCAUCUGCAGGAUCACAGAAGCUCUGCUGGACUUUCCUGGCACCAACGGCGUGGCUCCAUGCUGUCUUCAUACAGCCUUCAUCACAGAGCUUCUUCUCAAAGUCUACUACUGGGUCUGCCCCCAGGUACCAUUCUUGAUGUAGAUCUCAACUUUUGUUCAAAUCCUCCAGAACAAUCCACCAGCACCAAAAGUAUUUGUAAGAAACUGUGGAAAUUACUGAAGCCUUCCCAGAGUGGGGCAGAGGU